CUACUACUCCCUCCGUCCCAAAAAGCUUGUCUUAGAUGUAUCUAGACACGUUAGAUACAUCCGUAUCUAGACAGAUCUAAGACAAGCUUUUUGGUACGGAGGUAAUAUAUU
rfam:Triticum aestivum genome assembly, contig: Triticum_aestivum_CS42_TGACv1_scaffold_031306_1BL